AUCCAGACUCCUACGGGAGGCAGCAGUGGGGAAUAUUGCACAAUGUGCGAAAGCCUGAUGCAGCAACGCCGCGUGAAGGAAGAAGGGUUUCGGCUCGUAAACUUCUAUCAACAGGGACGAAAGAAAUGACGGUACCUGAAUAAGAAGCCCCGGCUAACUACGUGCCAGCAGCCGCGGUAAUACGUAGGGGGCAAGCGUUAUCCGGAUUUACUGGGUGUAAAGGGGGCGCAGACGGCGAUGCAAGCCAGGAGUGAAAGCCCGGGGCCCAACCCCGGGACUGCUCUUGGAACUGCGUGGCUGGAGUGCGGCGGAGGCAUGCGGAAUGCGCGGUGUAGCGGUGAAAUGCAUAGAUAUCGCGCAGAACCCCGAUUGCGAAGGCAGCGUGCCGUGCCGCCACUGACGCUGAGGCACGAAAGCGCGGGGAUCGAACAGGAUUAGAUACCCUCGUA
rnacentral:rRNA from 1 species